ACGAGUGGACUAUCUCGGGAGCCCGUGGGCUAGCUGGGUGCCCCUGCAAGCUCACGGAGAAGACACAGAAGAGCCAGGUGACAGACGGACAGGCGGGACUCGGACUAUGCACACAGGCAGGGGAGAAUGGAAGUGGGGGGCUUAGGAGGCUUGGGGAUGCAGACCUCUGCUUUCAGCAGCCACUGCACUGUGGUUUCCUCUCCAGGGCUCGGUCCCCACGUGGGAGCUUCCGGAGCCUGGUACAAAUGCAGACCAUGGGCGCCAUGGACUUUGACUUGAAGAGAAAGUGCAGGUCUUGAGAGAGAGGAACUGAAAAACCAAGAAGACAGCUGGUGAGAGAAGAGAAGGGAGAAGACGACGUGGCUGUCAGGGUGCAGGGGACACCCAAGUUAAGAGUUAAGACAAAGAUGAGGAACAAGGUGAGGCCAGAAUCCAGGAAGGAGCUACCGAGGGCCAGGUGGGGGUUGACGGAUCCAAGGAAGGAGAGCAAGGCCUUGAUAAGAUGCGGUGGGCCCAGAGGAGGGGCGAGGUCAGGUGAGCUGGAAUGGUCAGCUCUUUGUGGAACGAAUGACUCUGUACUGCUGAGCCGCAAGAUUUGGAGUUGCUGUCAACUUCGAGGCAACUGUUAAACCAGGGAGCUGCCAAAUAUUUUCAAGGGAUGACCAGGCCAGGAGUCUGAAGACUGAGAAGUAUGCAUUCUGGAUAAAUUGAAAAUUGGUAAGAAAAUAGGAGGGGAUCCGUUUUUCUUAGAGGAUCAAGCUUGGAAAGUCCCUCCUUCUGAUUGAGAAUAAAAAAAGGGAUUUGGUUUAUUGCAGCUCCCACACUAGCAGGCUGCUUUGCGUCUUCCAGUUUUAGUCAUUGACAGGUUCUGCCUCAGACACUUCCUACAACAUUACCAUCUUAUUCGGGUUUCCCCAUAGAAUCAUUCACUGCAAAACAGCCACUUAACAUGGUCCUGCCUGCCUCCCAGGAGUGUCAAAAGAAAAUAUGAUCCCAUGGAAAAGGUCUCCGUUUUUUUUUUUUAAAUAAAAUUUCACUCAAGAACAUACCCAUGGAUUUAUUUAAUCUCCUUAAUAUAAAUAAAUUAUGUUAAGAUUGUAUUAGUCUCAUGAAUAUGCAAUCACAACAAAUUACCUUGCAGAAGUCCAAGCUAGUCAAAUUUGCUCUCCUGGUGAAUCCAGGAGCUCUCUCUUGUUCAAGAAUGAGAGAGACAAUUGUCCUGUCCUCCCUUAGCCUUGGCCUUGGCCUUGGGAGGCUGAGACUCUGGCCAGCUUGAGUGAUGCGGAUCCUGAGAGCACUCCCGGGUAGGCAUUUGCCCCGGUGGAAUGCCUCGUCAGGGCAGUGCACAGCAGACACCGCGGAGGAUCCACACAGGGGCUGAACACCGGGAAGGAGCUGGCGCUUUAAGUCUGGACAUCUGAAACUUGAUGAGAUAUAGAGGCUCAGAGAAGCAGUAUUAACCUGGCACCAAAGUCUCCUAGCUCUUCUGGGGCCAGGCCCGGGAAAGAGGUGAGAAUGGACACCUGGCACCGACUGCUAGCCCCAGUGACUCUUAUUUUCUUAGCCCCGAAUCACACACAUCAUCUGACCCACCGUUUCAGCAAGUGUGGAACAUCCUGGACUCUUGGAUGUACUGCUGCAUCUUCCAGAGAGUGAGGUGUUCGGUUGCCCUCCUGAGAGCUGAACAGCCUGGCAUGAAGGCAGGGACUGUGUACUGUGCCGCUGUACCAGAGCUGGGAGGUACCCAGAGUUGUGGAAUGAAUGAAUACAUUCACAGGCCCACAGGAAGACUGCAAGAGCUCAACUUGAGUUGAACAAGGAGGUUACCUAAGCCCUCAGAACUGCUGCUAAUUCUCCCGGCAGAAGGAGACGACUGUCGGAAACUAGGAGGUGCUCGGUGAUAAUGGAAUAAAGGUUUUCUCUCUGCAGAGCUGUCUGGACCACACAGGGGUCACACUUAGAUCUGAUCAUAACAUAGCUCCACCUGGACAAAUUGUUUCACCCAACCCUCUUUCCAGCUUGAAUCACAUCAUUACCUUUAAGAAUUUCCAUUCGUUUUAGUUUCCUGCUAACUGACAUCUUCACUAUAUAAAAUACUGGUAUAAAAAUACUGUGUACCAAGAUUUGAUACAACUAGCAAAUGUUCAUUGGUUUACAACAAACC